ensembl:lncRNA
CCCGCCCGCACCCGCUCGCCCGCCAGCCCGCACCCGCUCGCCCGCCCGCCCGCACCCGCUCAGCCCCGGUUUGGAAAGCAGCCGGCGGCGUCGCCGCAAAGCCAAGCGACGCCUCUGCGCCCCAGACACAGUCCGCAGAGCGGCGUCCUCGUCGGUCCCUGGCCCUCGAACAUUCUCCGCCGCCCCGGCCUGAGCCAGGGACCGCCGAGGUUCUCCACAGGCCGAGCUAACUUCCCACCCCAGGAACAGAGCUCGCUCUGCUGCCCCCGGUGGCGGCCGGCCGCCACCUUACCCUCGGCUUCUUCGACAAUCGGCGACGGCCGGUUGAGAACUACAUUUCCCAUCAGGCCCUUCUCAACACCGCGAUCGUGCCCGCGAGACUCGGGUGGGAAGACCGCGCGCAGGCGCAGCCUCGCCCUUUCCGAGCUCGGCCGCCGCGUGUGCGGGAGUCAUGGCCGCGAGGCUCCGUCGUGCGCCCACGGGCAGGGCUGGGCCUUGGGUGUCGGCGUGCCCCUGGCAAAGCAUCAGGUUAAUGGCAGGAUCCCCAGGCGUAAAGGGACCCGCGUGGCCGCCCAGUGAGAAGGCGGAGAAGGACGGCGGGCAUCUGCGUGCACUGUUCUCAGGUUCCCCAAUGAGCGAGCGUUGAGCCAUGAGUCCCUUUCGAUUGGAGUUGGCUCCUGGAGACACCAUGAGAUGCUGUGUGUGGUAAGCACUUCUCCAUAGAGUGGCAGGGGUUGGGGUUGCCUGGAAGGAUCGGUCUGGGGUUGCAGGGAUGUGAUUGCUCGGGGAAGGGAAGAAACAUGGAACCAUUCCUCUCUGCUCUUCACUUACUGCCUUCAUAGACUGUAUUUAAGGUGUGAGAAUACAAGUGUUCCCCACUCUGCUGCCACAUAGACUGAGGCUUAGGGGUUUCUGCUCAAAGCUACAUGAGCACUGGCUUCCAGGGGACAUCAGUUGAUGCUGGGUGACUGUCCUUCAAGGCACAGGGCAGCCAUUUUAAACUUAAACAUACCCAACAUGUCAAUAGAGCUGAGGUUAAGAAACCUUAUCACUCAGGAUGACUUGGACUGAGUUUGUUCUCUCCUUUACAUACUGAGCCAAAAUUGCAUUUUAGAUUAAAGGUUUUGGCCAGCUAGCUGAUAGUGGCACAGAGCCUUGUGUUUUUUGUAAAGCAAAAUUAGUGGUUUCCAAUCCGGGAUUUAUCCCCCAACACCUAAAAGCAUUCCCUGGGUCCACCUCUGCCAGUGGAUAAGACUGGUUUUAGAAUGGGAUCAACAACAACCUUGUGGGAGGUCUGAGCAGGCGGACAGAGAGAGUUCAAUGAUCUGCUUAGGGAUUCUCCUAGAGCAGGCUAUUUUUAAGAAGCUCUUGGGGUAGAUUUCUAAUGUCUAAAUGGAAAAAUCUCAGGCUUGCUCUUGUAUAUGUAGAUGGACAAGGAGAAACUGUAUGAUGCUGUCUCGGUAGCAGGUGUGAUAGGUGGUUGUCUGUCAAUGGGCCAGCUGAGGUAGUGGGUUACCUAAACCAUUUCAGGCGUUCCCGUGACAGGCUGGAAGAACUUGUCAAAGACUCUGGCUCAGCGAUAAGACAGAUGCUGCUGGGAGUGACCCUCUUCCACCCUGAGGUCUUACCAUGUAUCCUGUGUGGGCCUUGAAUUUUCUGUGUAGCACAGGUUGGGUUCAAACUCACAGUUCUUGCCUUGGCUUUCUUGAUGUUCAUGAUCCUGUCUUUGAGAGGACCGGAGUGUCUGGGAAAUGGCUCAGUGGCUAAGAACAGCUGCUGAGGACCUGGGUUCAUUUCCCAGCACUUACUUCAGGCAGCCAGCUGCCUAUAACUCCACGUCUAGGGGGAAUCCAAUACCCUCUUGAGGUCUCUACAGGCACUAGGCACACACGGUGCACAUAUGUUCAUGUAGUCAAAACACACACACACACACACACACACAUGAAAUUGCCUUUUUAAAAAAGCUUUUAGAGUUCUUGAGCAAAGGCCGGCAGUCCCGUGGGAGCUGAGUGCAUGAUGAUGUAAAGUUAUCCCUGUCUGAAGGGCAAGAGGCCUUUCUGUGUGGAGCGUGGAUAUCUGAAACUCGGCUUCUCGGGCUUGACCAGCAACUCUGGACAUGGUUCUUCAGUGAGCUGCUUUACCUUGUGUGUUUCCUCAUCACCAGGUGCAGGCCAAGUCUGGGGCAGAAAGGGAUGCUGUGGCAGCCUGCAGGUAACCAACUAUCCUGCCCCCUGGAUUGCAAGGAUGUGAGCGGCCGUGGUUCCUCGCACAGCUGGCUGGGUGGAGGGUUAGUGCUUUUGAUUUCCUGCUCUGGGUUGUGCAGGGUGAGAUGCCAGCCUUGUGACAAACAGAAGCAAUUGCUUUCUUCUGUAGCCCCCUCCCCCUUUGAUCUGAGAUAGGAUCUUACUGUUUAGCCCCAGGUGGGACUUGCUAUGUAGACCUGGGUGACCUCAAACUCACAAGUCCACCUGCUUCCGCCUUCCAGGUGCUGGGAUUAAAGGCAUUUGUCACCAUACCUGGCCCUUUGUGGUUUUAUGCUCCCAUUUUGUUUUUGUUCUAAAAAAAGCCCAUAAGCCUAUGAUGGAUGUUAAGUUAUCCCUGUCUGAAAAUUUCAGCUGAGGGAAAAUACUAUGUUCUGAGGCUUAGGGGUGUGGCUCCAUGCUUGAAGAAAUUCGAGCUUUAUAAGGGAUUGAGUGGACUCCAUAGAGAGCUAUGUGCGCCCUGCUGGGACCUAGUGUGGUGUGCCAGCUCUCCAAAAGCCUAUGGUCUGGUUGCCCUAUAAUCCUCUCCUUUGAGUGGCUCUGAGGGCAAAGCCUCUGAGUUCACAGAGGUGGGCAUGCUGCCAGGGCUCAUUCUAUACUGUAGAGUGAAGGAGUGCUUGCCACAUACUUGGGAGUGAAUGUGCUCUUUUGUAGGAGUCAGGAAUGUAAGGCUUAUGCCAUCAGUGCUUAGUGACUCUGUCCUUGCCACCACAGCAGUCCUGACAUUUUGGGGAAAGAAGGCGCAGCGACUCUGGCAGCCUCAGUACAGAGUAGGUCCUGUCUGUGUGUCGUGGUUACUUAAUGGGCACUAGAGGAGUCGGAGAGAAACAGGGCACUAGGGUGGGGGGUGGGCCCUGCCUUAGGAACUCGUUUCAGUGGCCAUUUUGAAGCCCUCAAAUUGUCCUUUGCUGUGGAAACUGGCUUUUUAUACUUAAAGUCACUUUUUAAAUUUCAGUUUUCAAGAUAGCGUUUCUCUUGUGUAGCCCUGGCUAACCUGGAAUUCACUCUGUAGACCGCCUCAAACUCAGAGAUCCUCCUGCCUCUGCCUCCAAAGUGCUGGGAUUAAAGGUGUACGCCACCACUGCCUGCUGAUUUUUUCAUCAUCUGAAGUAGCAUUUGGUGAGAUUCACAGAGCCCAUAGCCUGCAGGGAAGCAGGUCUGCUUGGCUUUGCUCCUGGUGGACUCAAAGGUCCAUGUACAGAGGGAGUUAGUUGAAUGUAAAUAUUUCUGAUGGUUCAUGAGAGUUUGUUUUUUGACCAUCACCAGAAAUUUCUCGUCUUUUUAAAAAAAAAAAAGUUACACAUAAUGCCUAGUAAAUGAUAGUGGCAGGAGCCCCAGGCUAAUUGCUGGUUCCCAAAUUCCUCACUUUUGAGUCACUCAACUGGCUGUUUUCCUUCAUGGUUUUGUUUUGUUUUGUUUCCAGGUUACUGCCCUAAAGUGCCCUGCUGCUGCUGACUUUAAUCUCCCAGAGAGAAUGUCAUCAAAGGACCUUGGAGUUUGAUCUGCAGAAGUAGCCAAGAAGUCAAGUGACUCUGUCAUCCUGGGAAGCCUCUGGCAGCUAGCAGUUGGAGGCACUGGGGAGGCAGGUGCUGCGCCUAGAAAAGCAUUUCUCAGUGGAUUUCCUGGGAAGUUCAUGUUGGGCUUUGUGAUUUGAAGCACAAAUAAACCUUAUUAGAUUUAAC